AUUGAACGCUGGCGGCAUGCCUUACACAUGCAAGUCGAACGGUAACGGGCCUUCGGGUGCCGACGAGUGGCGCACGGGUGCGUAAUACAUCGGAACGUGCCCGAUCGUGGGGGAUAACGAGGCGAAAGCUUUGCUAAUACCGCAUACGAUCUACGGAUGGAAGCAGGGGACCGCAAGGCCUUGCGCGGACGGAGCGGCCGAUGGCAGAUUAGGUAGUUGGUGGGAUAAAAGCUUACCAAGCCGACGAUCUGUAGCUGGUCUGAGAGGAUGAUCAGCCACACUGGGACUGAGACACGGCCCAGACUCCUACGGGAGGCAGCAGUGGGGAAUUUUGGACAAUGGGCGCAAGCCUGAUCCAGCCAUGCCGCGUGCAGGAUGAAGGCCUUCGGGUUGUAAACUGCUUUUGUACGGAACGAAAAGCCUUCUUUUAAUACAGGAGGGUCAUGACGGUACCGUAAGAAUAAGCACCGGCUAACUACGUG
rnacentral:rRNA from 1 species